rnacentral:rRNA from 1 species
CCUACGGGUGGCAGCAGUAGGGAAUCUUCCGCAAUGGACGAAAGUCUGACGGAGCGACGCCGCGUGAGCGAAGAAGGUCUUCGGAUCGUAAAGCUCUGUUGUUAGGGAAGAAGAAGUACCGUUCGAAUAGGGCGGUACGGUGACGGUACCUAACGAGAAAGCCCCGGCUAACUACGUGCCAGCAGCCGCGGUAAUACGUAGGGGGCGAGCGUUGUCCGGAAUUAUUGGGCGUAAAGCGCGCGCAGGCGGUCCCUUAAGUCUGAUGUGAAAGCCCACGGCUCAACCGUGGAGGGUCAUUGGAAACUGGAGGACUUGAGUGCAGAAGAGGAGAGUGGAAUUCCAUGUGUAGCGGUGAAAUGCGUAGAGAUAUGGAGGAACACCAGUGGCGAAGGCGACUCUCUGGUCUGUAACUGACGCUGAGGAGCGAAAGCGUGGGUAGCGAACAGGAUUAGAUACCCUGGUAGUC